GGAAGUUCUGGGCUAGGGAUUAACCUAUGACCUAUGUUGUAGCUGUGGCAACACCAGAUCCUUUAACCCAGUGCACUGGGCCGGGGGAUUGAACAUGAGCCUCCACGGUGACCUGAACUGCUGCAAUCAUAUUCUUAACCCACAGCAGAAACUCCUGAUAAUUUAUUUUCAAAAUUUAUUUAUUAUUUUAGAAAUCAGUCUUUCUAUUUCUCCAAAAAUGCUUUUGGAAUUUCAAUAAGGAUUGCAUUAAAUCUGUAUUUUUGAGGAGUAUUGCCAUCUUAACAGUAUUAAGGUUUUUCAGUCUAUGGACAUAAAUGUUUUAUAAUUUAUUUAGAUCUUUAAUUUCUUUCAGAAAUAUGUAUAGUUUUCAGUGUAUGAGUCUUUUUCCUCCUUGUCAAAUGUGUUCUUAGGUAUUCAUUCUUUUGAAAAUGUUGUCGAUGGAAUUGUUUCAUUAUUUUCUUUGAAGAUUGUUCAUUUCUGGUGCUUUUUUUUUUUUUUUUUUUCGUUUUUGCCCUUUCUAGCGCUGCACCUGCGGCAUAUGGAGGUUCUCAGACUAGGAGUCUAAUCAGAGCUGUAGCUGCCCACCUACACCAGAGCCAUAGCAAUGCCAGAUCUGAGCCAUGUCUGCAACCUACACCACAGCUCACGGCAACACCAGAUCCUUAACCUACUGAGCGAGACCAGGGAUUGAACCCGCGACCUCAUGGUUCCUAAUCAGAUUCACUAACCACUGAGCCACGAUGGGAACUCCAGUUUCUGGUGCUUUAAAACAGCUGAUAGUUGUGUAUUUAUCUUGUACCUGUCAAUUUGCUGAAUUCAUUUAUUAGCUUUAGAAAGUUUUUAUGAAUUCUUUGGGAUUUCUAUAUGGGAUUAUUUUAUCUGUGAACAGAUAUAGCUUUACUUAUUCUUUUUCAAUUUGGAUGCCUUUAAUUUCUUUUUCUGGCCUAAUGCUUUGGCCACAACUUCCGGUAUCAUGUUCAGUAGUUUUAAGAAAGUGGCGUCAUUGCCUUGUUCCAGAUCUUAGGGGGAAAGCCUUUAGUCUUUUACCGUUGUAUGUGAUCUGAGUUAUUGGUUUUUCACAGAUGUCUUUUAUAAUGUCGAAGAAGUUCCCUUCUAUUUCUAGUUUUCUCGAUGGUUUUAUCAUGAAAGAGUAUUGGAUUAUGUCAAGCAGAAUUACCACAAAUUUACAACACAAAUUUAUUAUAUCUGACAUGAGCCUUAUUGGACUAAAAUCAAAAUAUGGGCUGGACUGUUUUCUUUCCAAAGACUUUAGGGGAGAAGGGGUUUCCUUGCCUUUUCCAGCUUCUAGAGGUCACCUGCAUGGCUUCUUCCAUCUUGAAAGCCAACAAUGUUGUAUCUCUCUGACCAUUUUCCGUAAUUACAUCUUACUCUGAUCCUCAAUAAGGAAAGAAAGGUUACCGAUUUUAAGAACCUGCAUGAUUUGGUUGGGCCUACUCUAAUAAUCGAGGAUAAUUGCCCUAGCUCAAGAUUCCCAACCUUAAUCACAUUUGUAAAGUUGUUGUAGCCAACCUAUUCAUAGGUUCUUUGGUCAGGAUACAGUUGCACUGCACUUUUGAAUUAUUUCUAAGUAAUAUACUUCUAAGUAUAUUGUAAGUAUAAUUAAUAUACCAACAAUUGAAGUUUCUCUGCUUAUCUUUUUGUUACUGAUUUCUACCUUAAUUCCACGGUGUCCAGUGAACUUUGAAUGAUUUUAAUUUUUUAAAAAUUUAUUGAAGCUUUCUUUAUGGCUAAACCAUCCUGCCUGCUUAAUCAUUUUAAUACAGAGCGUUGAAAUGGGGAUGCUUGAUACAUUCAAACAACUAUUUGAAGGUUGGCUGUCUUAUUUAUGUUUGUAGGAUAUUUUCUUAUGUUUUAGUAGUCUUUGCCUUAUUUUUGCUAGUUAAUCAGUCAUUGUAGAAUAGUCGUAGGUAGUUAAGGUUAAAUUGAUUUUUGAACUAAAUGCAAUAUCAUUAAAAUAUUCUCUGAUUAAUGAAGCCAUACCUGCUUUAUUGGCUGUGGGCAAAAAGUUCACAAAUAAAGUAAAAUAUUGCUAUAAAACAGUUAUCUUGAAUAGGCCCAGAUCAGUGAAAGCCCCUUUCCCUACAAAGGAAAAACACACUAUAGGACAAUAAAGAACAAAAACUUUGAUUACCCAGGACGUAUGAAAGCAGAGAUUAGAAACAAAGAACCUCAAAUUGGGUUUUUUGUUGUAGUUGAUUGGUUUGGUACCUGGACGGGGGAACAAUGCUUUGACUUGCACUGUUAAUGAAAGGCCCAUCUUUAUCCAAGUAACAAGAUUAGAAGACAUAAAAAAUGAGAAGAAAAGUUGAGAGAAUGGCAGUCAGUUAAAAAAGUGCCAUUAAUUUGUACGUUCCUAGUCUUCAAAUUACUUUUAUUAAUGCCUCUUAAUAACUAACCUAUCUACUUUUUCUCUCUAGUAUCACUCAGUUUUCUAUUUCUCUAUUUAGUUUUCAUGAUCCAUCAUUUCAAAAAGUCUUUUGGCAGAUACCUUAAUCUUCCCUGUUUUUUGACUUUACGUUACUCUUAACUGUCAAAUCCCCAGCCAUGGAUUAAUUUAUCCACUUGUUCUGGAGUAUCCAUGAAUUUCCUGAAUUUCUGGUUUGUAGAGGUUGCUAACCGAAAUGAAUUCAUUGUUACUCAUCUGAACUGGGCCCUCGAUAAUGUUGCUUACCUUAAUGUUCCUUUAUGAACGCACAUGUAUAUGAUCUGCAGUGGUCGUAUUUCAUUACAGCCUCUGCUUUCCUAAAUCUCUUCACUUUUCCAAUGACACCACACUUUCCUUCAUUUUCUUUCUUAGGCUGACUUUUCUAAAUCUACUUUGCCAGUUCCUUCUUUCCCAUUAGACCUUUAAACGUUGAAGUUUAUUGAUUCUUGGUUGUCAACCAUCUUAGGCCCCUUACCCUGCUUUCCUAGGUGAUUUCAGCUUUACACAGUUUUGGUGACUAUCUGCAGUUAACACUGUAUGAAAGAAAUGCAAUGUAAGUGCAUAUCUAAAUAAAAAAUUUCCAAUAGCUAUAUUAAAACUAGAAAUUCCACAACUGCUCAGCAUGAGUAACAGGGGCUAUCUCUCCUUCAUGAAGCAGCUAAAAAACCAGAGCAUAUGUCACAACGGUUUUCAAGUCCCUAGACAUUAGGUGAUGAAGGACAGUGUUUUCUGAGAUAGAGGAAACAAAUGAGAUGAAUCUUAGGAUGGCCCAGUUUACUGCCUUGAGUUUC
rnacentral:lncRNA from 1 species